rnacentral:lncRNA from 1 species
CUUUAGCAACCAUGGAAACAGCAAGGUUGUAGUAGUCCAUGUACAUGGAGGCCUGCUACAGCACCCCAACACACGCAUUCAAAUCUAAAAUUCCCAUUGCUUUUAUCAGCUCCAGGAGACCUAACACAUCCUUCAAGCCUCCUUUGGAACCAACACACAGUGCUUCCACUGCUGAAUCAUGUUUGGUGACACUCUCUGAACUGGACUGAUGGUAUCCUGACACUACUGAACUGGACUGCUGCUAUUUUGACAACAGAGAUUGGAAUCACCCCCAAAGAACUACUUCUAAAUGGAUCCUCAUCUGCUUGUCCUAUUUACCAUUCUUCCUACCCUGCCUUUGGACAGUAGGCUAGAAAGGAGAAUCAAAGCAUUUGAGAACCCUUAUUAAAGUUGGUUUUGAAAAAUCUAAACCUACAAGGAAGCAGAGAAAAUGAAUGCUAGUACUUUGCCCACUUUCUCCUUUUUAUUCAGUCUGGGACCCCCUAGACCAUAGAAUGGUACUACCCAUACCCACAUCCUAGCUAUUUCAGUUAAAUUUUUCAAGAUAUAUGCUAUCUAUCUAGCUAUCAUUUAUCUAUCUAUCUAUAUCUCAACAUCUCGAUAUGUGUGUGUGUGUGUGUGUGUGUGUGUGUAUACAUCUGUACAGCAGUGGUCCUCCAUUCUGUAGUUCUAUCCUUCACUUUCAUCCAUGAAAAUAGAUUCUUAUUACACUACAAACUAUACACUUAAUUAGUUAUAACAAGUUUGAAGGAAGAUUAAGAUAUUUAUUCUCCAGAAAACAAUAAAAUGCACAAGGAAGAACUAAGCCCACAACCAGAAUGUCUAAUCAUAUGCCUUUUCUUUAAUCCUCAAGGACCAUGACUCUUUGUUUUGCCUAUCUUCUUCCACGACUCACACUAAUCUGCAUUUAAAUGAACUUUUCCCCAUUACAAAAAUAUUUUUUUCUUCUUUAUUAUCAAAUUUAGGUAACUUUUAAAACCUUAGCUUCUUAUUCCAAGAUCUGACUUUCCGCUAACAUAUUUGGCUAAAACCCGAAACAGCACUAGACUACUUUUGCAUUUACCUACCAAUAAUUUUGUGACCUCUCCUGCUUCACUGAAAUAAAACUGUACCUCCAAAAGAAUUUGUGCCACGUUUUUAAAAUGAUUAACCAAGGACAGCGGUCAUUUCUAUUUGUAAUUCCCUUGAGUUUGACUCUGUUUGCCUUCUCUUAGCACUUUGUCCUCCGGCUGCUUGUUUAUUAGACUAUAGUGAAGGAGAAAUACUGUUUGAACUUCUUGCUUGAUGCUGUGUUGUUUGGAUUUGGUCAUGUGAGACAAGGUCAAAUUUUUCCUAUUAAUUUGCAGCAAAACUAAGCACUUCCCCUUAUAUUAUGGCUGGAUGAGGCCACCCAGUUGGAUGACAAGUGUCCCAAAGUAGGUAAAGGCAUCAGAAACAGCCCCUGCUCCCCCUGUCCCACAAAAUUACCAAGCUAUACAACUAUAAUAUAUAUACAAAAGGCUUAGGUUAGACCAAUGCAGGCUUCCUGAAUGUUGGUUCAAUCUCAGUGAGCCCCUACAAGUCCAGGUUUGUAGAUUCUGCAAGUUUUCUUGCGAUGCCCUUGUCCCCUCUGGCUCCUACAAUCCUUGUCUGUCCUCUUGAAUAGGAUUCCCCAAACUCCACCUAAUGUUUGGUUGUAGGUCUUUGCAUCUGUUUCCAACAAUAGCUAGAUAAAAGCCUCUCUCAUGACAAUUGGGUUAGGCACCAAUCCAUGACUAUAGCAGAAUAUUAUUAGGCAUCAUUUCAUUGACUUGUGUGUUGUGUGUGUGUGUGUGUGUGUGUGUGUGUGUGUGUGUGUGUGUGCCAGUUUUAUUUGGUUCCAUCCUAGGUCUCUGUACUAUCAAGCCACUAGUUUCUUGUCGACUAGACAGUGGUAAGAGUAGGCUCACUCUGGUAGCAUGGAUCUCACAGGAGACCAGUCACUGGUCAGCCAUUCCUACAGUUUCUGGGCUACUUUUACCCAGCACAUCAUGAUGUCAGAAUAAAUUGUAGGUUAAAGGUUUUGUGGCUAGGUUGGUGUCCCAGUCACUCUACUGGAAGUCUUGCCUUUUAGUUAUAAGAGAUGGCUUUUUCAGGCUUUGUAUUCUCCAUUACUAGGAGUCUUAGCUAUGGUCACCCUAAUAAAUUUCUGUCAGUUUCCACUAUACUUGGUUUCUACCUUGACUCUGAAUAGAUCUAUACUACCCUCCCCCUCUAUGCCCUCCCCACCUGUCCCCUCCUGUUCCCAUCCCCACAUGACCCCAGUCCACACACAAUAUUUAUUCUAUUACCUUUUCCCAGGGAGAGCCAUGAAUCCCCUCAUGCCCCUUGAGUCUUUCUUGUUACUUAGCCUCUCUGGAUUCUUAGAUUAUAACACAGUUAUUCUUUACAUUGAAGUUAAUAUUCACGUGUAAAUGGAUACAUGCCAUGUUUGUCUUUCACAGUCUUGGGUACCUCACUCAGGAUGAUAUUUUCUAGCCAUAUCCAUUGCCUGGAAAUUUCAUGAUGUCACUGUUUUUAAUAACGGAGUAAUACUCCACUUUUUAAAUCCAAUCUUUGGUUGAGAGACAUCUAAGUCAUUUCCAAUUUCUAGCUAUCAUAUAUGGAUCUGCUAUGAACAUAGUUAAGCAAGUGUUAUUGUGGGAUAGUGGAACAUCUUUUGGGUAUAUGUCCAGGUACAGCCGAGUCUUGUUGAUCAAGACCCAAUUUUCUAAGAAACAGACAUUGAUUUUUUUUCAAAGUGUCUGUACAAGUUUGCACUACCACCAUCACUGGAGAAGUGUUCUUGUUCUACAUCCUCACAAACAUGAGCUGUCACUUAUGUUUUUGAUCUUAGCCAUUCUGAUGAGUGUAAGAUAGAAUCUCAGAAUCAUUUUGAUUUGAAUUUCCCUGAUGGCUAAGAGUGUUGAACAUUUCGAGAGCUUCUCAGCCAUUGGUGAUUCUUCUCUUGAGAAAUCUCUAUUUAUAUACGCACCCCUUCUUAAUUGCUUUAUUUGGUUUCUUGAGUUUAUUAUAUAUUUUAGAAUUUGGCCUCUGUCAGAUAUAAAUAAUAAUUUUCACAAGAACACUAAGGGAAACUGAAGGAAUUUUGAGGUAACAGAAUGUAAGACAGCAUGUAUAUGUCCAUCAUUCCCUCACUGAUGGGGACAACAUCACCUACAGAACUCAAAGUUAUCAAAACAUCAUGGGCCACCCAAGAAGAAUAGAAAAACGAAACACAGUUACCAUGAAGAUUAAAGCCAAAAUUAAAAUAGAAGUGAGUGAGGAGUCAGUGAACCCAACUGAUUUUUGAGUCUGAGAAUAUGGAUGAGAUGUGUUUUCAAAGUCAAUGAAGCACAAGAUAUGUGCAGUGUGCAUUUUCUUAUCUUGAAACAGACUCAGAUGUCCACCUCAAAUUACAAACUGACAAUGCAGUUUAACAUGGAUACACACAUGAAAUAAUCUAUACAUGCACCGAGUAUGUAAAAUUUUAAAAUAUUGACUGUGAAUACAACUGUUAAGGCAGGAAUAAAAGAAGAAACAAAGGCAUUAUUUAAACAUGACAGGGAAGGUCAUGUAUUAAAUGUCACGAUUAAUAUGAGUAGCUGAUUACUUAAGGAUAUUAAAGCUAUUAAAAAUAUAAAGGAUACUAAUACAAUGAGAUCUUAUGGAAAAUAUUUGGAAGGGUUUUCUGGUAGGAGGUAUGGGAUGUAAGUAAAUGUGUGUGUGUGUGUGUGUGUGUGUGUGUGUGUGAUCACAUGUGUCUGAGUAUACCUGUGUGGCAUGUGCAUGUGGAACCCUAUUGACGUUGGGAAUCUUCCUUGAUCAUUCUCCACCUUGUUUAUUGAGAAAGGUUCUCAAAAGCAAAUCCCACUUUUAGUCUAACUAGCCAGUUUGCCCAGCGAAUCCUCUGUCUCCGGGGAUUUUCUGCCACCGCACUGGUCCUGGUUUUAGCAGGGCUCUGAGGAUCACACUGCAAGUCAUCAUGCUUCCUUGGCAAGCACUUUAACUAGUUUACUGAGUUGUCUUAACCCACAAGUAGUAAUUGUUUAAGAUGAAAAGCCAGGUCAACGUAAGUACAAACAUGUGAGUUGUUUUAACAAAGGUGUCAGUGAAUAAGUCACUAAAUUGGAAAACCUUGGCACUGCAGGUGAAUGAAUACCUGUUUCACAAGCUGCGGAAUCUUUUCAGGCAAAACAAAACAGUCUUCCAAACAGGCCUUCUGGCAACUUUUAUAUGAUAAAGUUAGCACUUCACAAAUAUACUUAGCAUUUGACAAGCUGUGUACUCAUCUCUCAUUUACAAAGCCAACAUUUUAAACUGCCUUUACAUUUCUCCUUUCUCUUGCCCCCAUGCCUGCACACUAGAAUCAAAGUUUAAUAUUUAACCAUAGUGAAGCUAACAUGCUUCUGAAAUAACUGUUGAGACUUCAGCAAAGUGAUAGUUCACACUAAGUAAAAUAAAACAGAAUUUCCAAGGGAAAUAACAGAAGAGAACUUUGUAAAAACUUGAAGAAAUAAGCCUGCUUCAGAGGACAUAGAAAUGAGGUCUACAACCAUGCCCUCCAUCUGUUCGUCACUGUAGAAUUCCAAACACAACCUGUUAUCCUAAGUGCUCUGAGAACCUCUGUGACUCUGGCCCUUGGUGGCCACAGAUGGCUCUGAGAGGCAUUUUCCUAGGGGUUGAACUAAU